CCUACGGGCGGCAGCAGUGAGGAAUAUUGGUCAAUGGACGCAAGUCUGAACCAGCCAAGCAGCGUGCAGGAAGACUGCUCUAUGGGUUGUAAACUGCUUUUAUAAGGGGUUAAAGUCAGAUACGCGUGUCUUUCUGAAAGUAUCGUACGAAUAAGGAUCGGCUAACUCCGUGCCAGCAGCCGCGGUACUACGGAGGAUUCGAGCGUUAUCCGGAUUUAUUGGGUUUAAAGGGUGCGUAGUCGGUCGGAUAAGUUAGAGGUGAAAUCCCGAGGCUCAACUUCGGAAUUGCCUUUGAUACUGGUAGGCUAGAGAGUAGUUGCGGUAGGCGGAAUGUAUGGUGUAGCGGUGAAAUGCUUAGAGAUCAUACAGAACACCGAUUGCGAAGGCAGCUUACCAAGCUACUUCUGACGUUGAGGCACGAAAGCGUGGGGAGCAAACAGGAUUAGAUACCCGAGUAGUC
rnacentral:rRNA from 1 species